AUAUAUAAUCUAUGCCUUGUCUGUAGAAAUUAAAGUUAUAACGGCAAAUUCAAGUUAUGUAUAGUAAAAAAAAUCGCGAGUGCUAUGUGAUGACAUUAUGUUAUUGCUUUCAUCUCAGGAAGUUGGAGGGUCGAAGGUGUCUUGGCAAUGUCUCGUGCUUUUGGCAAUCGCAUGCUGAAGCAAUUUGGUGUGGCUGAACCUGAGAUUCAGGACCAAGAAGUUGACCGGCCAGGACUUUGAAUUGCUUGUGCGCUUUUCGGUGACGGGCUUUGCGAUGUCGUACCUAAUGAGGUAAAGCCGCCUUUUAGACGAUUAUCACUGCCUUUUGUUUAUCGCAAGUUCCUUUCAGGCCCUUAGAGCGUAAGUUUUUAAGCAUUGGUGAUCGGAUGACGCAUACAAUUGAAAUGUUAGAAUAUUUCGGGUGAAUAACUAAAUGAGCAUGUGUAGAGGAGACGUGCAUUAAAGUUCCGUAUCUGAUGUUUUUGAAUUAUUCUAUGUUUGGGAAUUGUGAUUAGGCUUGAUUGACGAUAUAUAUAACUAAGCUUUGUCAAA